GCAAGUCGAACGAAGUAGCAAUACUUAGUGGCAGACGGGUGAGUAACAUGUAGGUAUCUUCCCUUUGGUGAGGAAUAACACGAGGAAACUUGUGCUAAUACCUCAUAAGUCUUCACGGAGAAAGCUUUAUGCGCCGAAGGAUGAGCCUGCACUUGAUUAGUUUGUUGGUGGGGUAAUGGCCUACCAAGACUGUGAUCUAUAGCUGAUCUGAGAGGAUGAUCAGCCACAUUGGGACUGAGACACGGCCCAAACUCCUACGGGAGGCAGCAGUAGGGAAUAUUGCACAAUGGAGGAAACUCUGAUGCAGCGAUGCCGCGUGAGUGAAGAAGGCCUUUGGGUUGUAAAGCUCUUUCGUCGGGGAAGAAAAUGACUGUACCCGAAUAAGAAGGUCCGGCUAACUUCGCGCCAGCAGCCGCGGUAAUACGAAGGGACCUAGCGUAGUUCGGAAUUACUGGGCUUAAAGAGUUCGUAGGUGGUUAAAAAAGUUGGUGGUGAAAUCCCAGAGCUUAACUCUGGAACUGCCAUCAAAACUUUUUAGCUAGAGUAUGAUAGAGGAAAGCAGAAUUUCUAGUGUAGAGGUGAAAUUCGUAGAUAUUAGAAAGAAUACCAAUUGCGAAGGCAGCUUUCUGGAUCAUUACUGACGCUGAGGAACGAAAGCAUGGGUAGCGAAGAGGAUUAGAUACCCUCGUAGUCCAUGCCGUAAACGAUGUGUGUUAGACGUUGGAAAUUUAUUUUCAGUGUCGCAGCGAAAGCAUUAAACACACCGCCUGGGGAGUACGACCGCAAGGUUAAAACUCAAAUGAAUUGACGGGGACCCGCACAAGUAGUGGAGCAUGUGGUUUAAUUCGAAGAUACGCGCAGAACCUUACCAACACUUGACAUGUUCGUCGCGACUCUAAGAGAUUAGAGUUUUCGGUUCGGCCGGACGAAACACAGGUGCUGCAUGGCUGUCGUCAGCUCG
rnacentral:rRNA from 1 species